GUCCAGACUCCUACGGGAGGCAGCAGUGGGGAAUAUUGCACAAUGGGGGAAACCCUGAUGCAGCGACGCCGCGUGAGUGAAGAAGUAUUUCGGUAUGUAAAGCUCUAUCAGCAGGGAAGAAAUAGCGACCUUUGGGUCGCCAGACGGUACCUGACUAAGAAGCCCCGGCUAACUACGUGCCAGCAGCCGCGGUAAUACGUAGGGGGCAAGCGUUAUCCGGAUUUACUGGGUGUAAAGGGAGCGUAGACGGAAUUGCAAGUCUGAUGUGAAAAUCCGGGGCCCAACCCCGGAACUGCAUUGGAAACUGUAUUUCUAGAGUGUCGGAGAGGCAAGUGGAAUUCCUGGUGUAGCGGUGAAAUGCAUAGAUAUCACGAAGAACUCCGAUUGCGAAGGCAGCAUACCGGCUCCAUACUGACGCUGAGGCACGAAAGCGUGGGGAUCGAACAGGAUUAGAUACCCUCGUAC
rnacentral:rRNA from 1 species